AUUGAACGCUGGCGGCAUGCCUUACACAUGCAAGUCGAACGGCAGCACGGGAGCAAUCCUGGUGGCGAGUGGCGAACGGGUGAGUAAUAUAUCGGAACGUGCCCAGUCGUGGGGAUAACGUAGCGAAAGCUACGCUAAUACCGCAUACGAUCUAUGGAUGAAAGCGGGGGAUCGCAAGACCUCGCGCGAUUGGAGCGGCCGAUAUCAGAUUAGGUAGUUGGUGAGGUAAAGGCUCACCAAGCCGACGAUCUGUAGCUGGUCUGAGAGGACGACCAGCCACACUGGGACUGAGACACGGCCCAGACUCCUACGGAGGCAGCAGUGGGGAAUUUUUGGGACAAUGGGCGCAAGCCUGAUCCAGCAAUGCCGCGUGCAGGAUGAAGG
rnacentral:rRNA from 1 species